GACGAAACAAUGAGCGCUAUCAUCGCCCGCCGCCACCACCAGAGACAUCUUCCACCUGCCCCCCCUUCCUCCCCUACCCCGCGCGAUCUGAUGCAAGGAGGAUCGACGACCGUCCUACGAUCCAGCGGCGGUUGCGUGAAAUCUCGCUGGGACGAACCCGAUUAGCCUCGUCCCAGUCGCCGCCAGAAAAGGUUGUUCUACAGGCGCCGACGUGAGCAUGCCCAUCGGCCUCCCUCCUCCCCUACCCCCGCACGAUCUGACGCCAAGGAGGACGACCGUCCUAUGUUCCAGUCGCAGUUGCGCGGAAUCUCACUGGGACGAAUGCACCCGGCCUCGUUCGAGUCCGAGUCGCUGUUGCUAUUCUCCACACGCCGAGACCGAGUCCAGCACCGCUGAUGCAGCGUGUUGUGUGUUGCCGACCGCCCACACUGGUCCACACGACCACAGCCAACCAUCAGGGUAUGAUGUAGUAAUUUUGUCUGAUAAUGAAUUAUCUUUCUGACCAACAUUGUGGUUAAACCUAAUAUUUAGUUUGUCCAUACACUAAAAUUGUUUUUCAAUCAUCUAUCCAAGAGAAUCCAUGACUGAUGUUAGUUUUAAAUUUGUUUUAUAUUUGGUCUCUUUGACUUGCCCUACAAGUAUGAUGCAAUAUCGCCAGUGAGAACCUCAACUGGCAGGAUAAGAUGAACGAGCAUAACAAUCCAUUCUUUGAUAUGUGUGAAAGCCGUUCAUUGACACGUCUGAUGACAUAUUUGUCAAUUAUAGCAGGAAGCUGAUGAUGUUGAAGCUGUAGCUAAUGGUUCCACCGAGGAAACCAACACAAGCAAGUAACUAAAUGCAGUUGCAACACAAGGUGGUGCUUACGGCAGCGGCAUGGUGACGACAGGAUAUCGAGUGGGCAAAGGUCGCCGUGAGAAGGAUGGGACAACUAUAGGCGUGUUGCUACAGAUUUCGAGCAGCCCCAACAGCUCCGCCUACGAAAUCAUCUUACUAGCUAAAGUAGGCAAUUCCAGAAUUAAUCGUUUUCUCACAAUGCGACCAGACGGUUGUAGUGCAUGAUAACUCUAGUUUUGUAUUGAUCGACUGACACCCAAUUGCCGCCACAGAAGGGAGCCUCACAAGAAGGGAGCUUGCAACGGAAUUUUCCAUGGCAUCCAGUGUUUGGAGAGGCGAGAUGGGGAGCCAUGCGGCUAAUCGAUAUUCAUCUUGCAUGACGUAUCAAUCUCGUUGAGACGCGCAAGGGGAUCAAACAAUAUUGAGAUCCCUGUCUCCACACGAACUUAGUCGAUGCACAUUUGUAUGUCCCGAUACUUCCCAUGCCGACACAUCUAACAAUGUUCUAAGGUCUAC